rnacentral:lncRNA from 1 species
UUUAAGGAGUUUUGCAUCAAGUAAUGAGCUCGACUUCAACUCAAAUCCAAGGAAGAUAUAUUACAUUUACUAUAAGAGGAGUCAAAUAGUGUUGUGCAAAUCAGAUUGAAAUACAUGAAAAGCAGGUGCUAAUAUUGUUGAUUACAUGGAUGGAUAUAUUCUUUUGCUUCUUCGUUGGUUUCAUGAUCUUUGUAGUUUUUUCCUGAACAUCUAGCUAUGUUAAUGGGGCAGUGUUAGUAGUAGCUUAUAUAACAAUGAAUGAAAUUUUGUAUCAUACCGGAGUUUCAAGCUUUGCUCGGUAUGGUACAGUACAGUGUAUUGGGCGGUACGCCAAGGCAUAUCAAGCGGUAAACCUAAUUUAGGCAUAAAAUCCUCUAAAAAUAUUUCAAAAUAAAAAAAAAGUUAUAAUAGGAUUUUUAAGUUAGAAAUAAAUAUAGUAAUAGUAUAAAUUUAGCAAAAUCAAUGUAAAUUAGGUAAGAAUAGUAUCAUAAAUCUUUUUCGAACUUUGAGGAAUAACCUUAUGCAAGGUUCAUAUUUUUGUCCGUUACGUAUUGUCCUUCUGUAAAUAUUAAAAUAUCUACAGAAAAAUUAUUUGAAUUAUUAGAUUAUUUUGUUAUAAUAUAAACUUUAAAAUUCAAAUGAAUUAAAUAAUCGCAUAUAUAGAUAUAUCUGAUUGCAGAUUCUACCACUGUAGCAGUUACUGUAUCAUUGUUGCAAUGCUACAGUACUCGGUACACCCAGGUGUACCGCUCGGUAUACCGUACCGUACCGGUAUCGAACCCAGGUCGAAAUACCGGUACGAUAUGGUAUUGCGAACCUUGUGUGAAACAACGAAAUAUGCAUGUGCUUGUACGAAACAAUAUAAUUUAAACAUAAACAUUACAUUACAGAUUUAUAUAUACAAAUUAUUUCGGGAUAAGAGCAUAUAGGAUUUCGAAAUAAUAAUGUGCAGCUCAAUAGAAGUAAGGAUUUCAGCUAAAAUAUACACCGUAUGCCAUUGGUGCAUCAAUGUGGUGAUGAUUGUAGGUUAAUCGUGAUAAAUCACAUUUGUUCGAGGCGGCUCCUAAGGCAUAUAUUGGUGAAUGUCAGAGCUUCUACUUUCGCUACUGAUCUGCUGCUUUGUAUCAUACUGUUGCUCGGAGAAGUAUGACCAACUAUCACCGUACUAGUAAUUUAAAAAGCGUUAGGCGUUAAAAGACGCCAAGGUCCAAAAACGCUUGAGAUGCUAGGCGCUCGCCCGAGCGAAGCGAGGCGCUAAAAUAUAAAAAUAUAUAAUAUAAUUAAUAAAUAUAAUUAUUUAAAUAAAAAAUAUGCUAUUAAAUUAAGAAAAUCAGGUACAAAAUCACAUUAAAUAAAUAAAUCAUAAUAGUAUAUUUUUAAAUUUUAAAUAAAAAUUAAUAGUAUUAAAAUCAAAAUAAUAUAUUAUUAAUCUAAUAAAUAAAUUACUAUUAUUAGUAUACAGGUAGCAGUAUACUGUUAACAGUAUGGUGAGAAGAGUGUGAGAAGACCGAGGCUGUUAAGGCAACGGCAAUGGUAGCAGGCGACAGCCGUAGCUGGAGCGGGAGCGGCGAGCGUCGGUGACAGCAGGAGUGGCGAGUGAUAGCGGGAGUGGGAGCGAGGAGCGACAACGAGAGCGGCGAGCGAUGAUAGCAGCGACGAGCAGUCGGCGAGUAGCGACAGUAGAGAGUAGCAACAACGAAGAAAUUGCGAUCGCGAGUUAUGGUUGGGGAAGUCGGGGAAAUCGCGAGAGGGGGCCUAAUAUCGAUGAUUUAGUUGGUUCGAUUGAACUAACUAAAGCAUCGAAAACCAACUAGACCUAAAAAUUUAGUUUGGACGCCUGGUUUAGCCCAGGGGCACACCUGAAGCACCUGGUAUCGGGCGAGCGCCCAAUCAGCUCCUCUUUGAAGCGAGGCGCCUGGACAUGAAGCGAGGCGCUCGGGCCUCACCUCGCCCGAGCACUUAUUGAAAUCACUGUGUCGUACUGUUGUUGACCGUAUGAUUCUCCAUAAUACGAUGUUUAUGAG